GUGCUCAUUUUGGCAGCAUGUACAAUAAAAUGAAGCAGUGCAGAGAAGAUUAGCAUGGCCCCUACACGGGGAUGACAUGCAGAUUCACAAAGCAUUCUGUUCUAUU
rnacentral:snRNA from 1 species